UCAGGUUUUAGAUCUAGCAGAGUUUCUACGUUGAUUUCCUUGAGCUCGUCGCCGGCUUCAUGCUCUUGUAGUCCAAGAAGGGAUGGAGUUUGGUCUACCUAAACCUCUUUCUCUUCUUGGAUUACACGAGCACGAAGCUCAACGACGAACUCGAUGAGUUCAUACUUCAAGCCUCUGAUCCUGGCCAAGAAGCUGCAGAGGUUUAGAUCGCCGCCUGAUCUGUGCAACAGGGAUCGGUCGGAUCAGGUAAAGAAAGGUUCAGAUAGAAAAGUGGAAAUCUUGCCGGAGUUAGAAAAACAGAAAAUAAUUUCCGGCAUCAAGUAUCAAUAGAACACAUGAAUCCAUCCCAGAAACAAGAUAUUUGUUUUUAGUUUCCCCAAUAACAAUCAAAUAUGGAGAGUUUAGUAUAAGUAAAAGGGUUUUCCCCUAACAAAUUUCGAAUUUCUUUAGAAUACCACGGAUCAUGAUGGAUCUGGAGCUGCUUCACAAGCUCCCUCACCUGGUUAGCUCAUUGAACAAGGGAAUCUGCCGAUCUGCCCUCAAUCCCCAACAUGCGCCGAUUUAGAUUUUAAUUUACAAAUCCGACAGAUAUGCGAACAAUUUGAAUAUGGGAAAAGGGUUUUAAUUCAUGUUUAAGAGGAAGGAUCUACAAUGUUCUUGGAGAAGGAAAAAAGAAAGGAUGAGAGGUGAGAGGCAGUGGAUUGUGAAUCAGUGCGGUAACGUGGUCAAAACAUUUACUUUUCGAUGUGAGGAAGCUGAGAGGUUCUCUGAGCCUGAGGUAUAUUGAGUUAGGAAAAGUCAUCCAAAUAUGCCUAUCAACAUAUGUAAUUAGGGGAAUUCAAUACUAAUCCUGUAUCAACAAAUUAAUGUUGAUCAUGGUAGAUUCAAGCAUCAUGUGUUACAUCAUAUGUUUGAAAAUAUGUAUGUAUAAUUUAAGAGUGGGUGUGGUUGGUUGAGUUGUGCUAUCAAUCAAUCUCUUUAAAAUUGUAGACAAAGACAUGCUUAUGGUGGAAAUUGGAUUAUUGCGAAUAUUAAACAGCCCUGCAAGCUUCUCAACUUA